GGGUUGUGAGGUUAAGCGACUAAGCGUACACGGUGGAUGCCCUGGCAGUCAGAGGCGAUGAAGGGCGUGCUAAUCUGCGAUAAGCGCCGGUAAGGUGAUAUGAACCGUUAUAACCGGCGAUACCCGAAUGGGGAAACCCAGUGUGACUCGUCACACUAUCAUUAACUGAAUCCAUAGGUUAAUGAGGCGAACCGGGGGAACUGAAACAUCUAAGUACCCCGAGGAAAAGAAAUCAACCGAGAUUCCCCCAGUAGCGGCGAGCGAACGGGGAGGAGCCCAGAGCCUGAAUCAGCAUGUGUGUUAGUGGAAGCGUCUGGAAAGGCGCGCGAUACAGGGUGACAGCCCCGUACACAAAAGCGCAUGUGCUGUGAGCUCGAUGAGUAGGGCGGGACACGUGGUAUCCUGUCUGAAUAUGGGGGGACCAUCCUCCAAGGCUAAAUACUCCUGACUGACCGAUAGUGAACCAGUACCGUGAGGGAAAGGCGAAAAGAACCCCGGCGAGGGGAGUGAAAAAGAACCUGAAACCGUGUACGUACAAGCAGUGGGAGCACCCUUUGGGUGUGACUGCGUACCUUUUGUAUAAUGGGUCAGCGACUUAUAUUCUGUAGCAAGGUUAACCGAAUAGGGGAGCCGGAGGGAAACCGAGUCUUAACCGGGCGUUAAGUUGCAGGGUAUAGACCCGAAACCCGGUGAUCUAGCCAUGGGCAGGUUGAAGGUUGGGUAACACUAACUGGAGGACCGAACCGACUAAUGUUGAAAAAUUAGCGGAUGACCUGUGGCUGGGGGUGAAAGGCCAAUCAAACCGGGAGAUAGCUGGUUCUCCCCGAAAGCUAUUUAGGUAGCGCCUCGUGAAUUCAUCUCCGGGGGUAGAGCACUGUUUCGGCUAGGGGGCCAUCCCGGCUUACCAACCCGAUGCAAACUGCGAAUACCGGAGAAUGUUAUCACGGGAGACACACGGCGGGUGCUAACGUCCGUCGUGAAGAGGGAAACAACCCAGACCGCCAGCUAAGGUCCCAAAGUCAUGGUUAAGUGGGAAACGAUGUGGGAAGGCCCAGACAGCCAGGAUGUUGGCUUAGAAGCAGCCAUCAUUUAAAGAAAGCGUAAUAGCUCACUGGUCGAGUCGGCCUGCGCGGAAGAUGUAACGGGGCUAAACCAUGCACC
rnacentral:rRNA from 1 species